rnacentral:tRNA from 1 species
GGGCCCGUGGUCUAGCGGUUAGUCUUCAACUGGUUUGGAGGCCUGCAAAUGACGACACCUUUACACGGUGUAUGUCCCCAGUUCGAAUCUGGGCGGGCCCA